rnacentral:rRNA from 1 species
AAUAUUGGACAAUGGGCGCAAGCCUGAUCCAGCCAUGCCGCGUGAGUGAAGAAGGCCCUAGGGUUGUAAAGCUCUUUCACCCGCGAAGAUGAUGACGGUAGCGGGAGAAGAAGCCCCGGCUAACUCCGUGCCAGCAGCCGCGGUAAUACGGAGGGGGCUAGCGUUGUUCGGAUUUACUGGGCGUAAAGGGCGCGUAGGCGGAUGUUCGCGUCAGAGGUGAAAGCCCCGGGCUCAACCUGGGAACUGCCUUUGAAACGGGACAUCUUGAGUUCGGGAGAGGGUAGCGGAAUUCCCAGUGUAGAGGUGAAAUUCGUAGAUAUUGGGAAGAACACCGGUGGCGAAGGCGGCUACCUGGCCCGAUACUGACGCUGAGGCGCGAAAGCGUGGGGAGCAAACAG